rnacentral:rRNA from 1 species
GACGAACGCUGGCGGCGUGCUUAACACAUGCAAGUCGAACGGAAAGGCCCUGCUUUUGUGGGGUGCUCGAGUGGCGAACGGGUGAGUAACACGUGAGUAACCUGCCCUUGACUUUGGGAUAACUUCAGGAAACUGGGGCUAAUACCGGAUAGGAGCUCCUGCUGCAUGGUGGGGGUUGGAAAGUUUCGGCGGUUGGGGCUGGACUCGCGGCUUAUCAGCUUGUUGGUGGGGUAGUGGCUUACCAAGGCUUUGACGGGUAGCCGGCUUGAGAGGGUGACCGGCGACAUUGGGACUGCGAUACGGCCCAGACUCCAACGGGAGGCAGCAGUGGGGAAUAUUGCACAAUGGGCGGAAGCCUGAUGCAGCAACGCCGCGUGCGGGAUGACGGCUUUCGGGUUGUAAACCGCUUUCGCCUGUGACGAAGCGUGAGUGACGGUAAUGGGUAAAGAAGCACCGGCUAACUACGUG